CACGUAGGGCGCAAGCGUUGUCCGGAAUUAUUGGGCGUAAAGAGCUCGUAGGCGGACUGUCACGUCUGCUGUGAAAAGCUGGGGCUUAACCCCUGGCCUGCAGUGGAUACGGGCAGACUAGAGGUAGGUAGGGGAGAAUGGAAUUCCCGGUGUAGCGGUGAAAUGCGCAGAUAUCGGGAGGAACACCGGUGGCGAAGGCGGUUCUCUGGGCCUUACCUGACGCUGAGGAGCGAAAGCGUGGGGAGCAACAGG
rnacentral:rRNA from 1 species